rnacentral:rRNA from 1 species
CACUCCUGCGGGAGGCAGCAGUGGGGAAUUUUGGACAAUGGGCGAAAGCCUGAUCCAGCAAUGCCGCGUGCAGGAUGAAGGCCUUCGGGUUGUAAACUGCUUUUGUACGGAACGAAAAAGCUCCUUCUAAUACAGGGGGCCCAUGACGGUACCGUAAGAAUAAGCACCGGCUAACUACGUGCCAGCAGCCGCGGUAAUACGUAGGGUGCGAGCGUUAAUCGGAAUUACUGGGCGUAAAGCGUGCGCAGGCGGUUAUGUAAGACAGAUGUGAAAUCCCCGGGCUCAACCUGGGAACUGCAUUUGUGACUGCAUGGCUAGAGUACGGUAGAGGGGGAUGGAAUUCCGCGUGUAGCAGUGAAAUGCGUAGAUAUGCGGAGGAACACCGAUGGCGAAGGCAAUCCCCUGGACCUGUACUGACGCUCAUGCACGAAAGCGUGGGGAGCAAACAGGAUUAGAAACCCGAGUAGUCCCAUGAU